GGUGAUUUAGCUAAGUGGUAGAGCGCUUGCCUAGCAAGCACAAGGCCCUGGGUUCGGUCCCCAGCACCA
rnacentral:tRNA from 1 species